GCUGGGGGUGGAUGAGUGGCGAACGGGUGAGUAUCACGUGAGGAACCUGCCCUGAACUUCGGGAUAAGCCUGGGAAACUGGGUCUAAUACUGGAUAGGACAUCUCAUCGCAUGGUGGGGUGUGGAAAGCUUUAUUGCGGUUUGGGAUGGUCUCGCGGCCUAUCAGCUGGUUGGUGGGGUAAUGGCCUACCAAGGCUUUGACGGGUAGCCGGCCUGAGAGGGUGACCGGCCACACUGGGACUGAGACACGGCCCAGACUCCUACGGGAGGCAGCAGUGGGGGAUAUUGCACAAUGGGCGCAAGCCUGAUGCAGCGACGCCGCGUGAGGGAUGACGGCCUUCGGGUUGUAAACCUCUUUCAGUUGGGAAGAAGCCCCUUUGGGGUGACGGUACUUUCAGAAGAAGCACCGGCUAACUACGUGCCAGCAGCCGCGGUAAUACGUAGGGUGCGAGCGUUAUCCGGAAUUAUUGGGCGUAAAGAGCUCGUAGGCGGUUUGUCGCGUCUGCUGUGAAAUCUCAAGGCUUAACCUUGAGUUUGCAGUGGGUACGGGCAGGCUGGAGUGCAGUAGGGGAGACUGGAAUUCCUGGUGUAGCGGUGAAAUGCGCAGAUAUCAGGAGGAACACCGAUGGCGAAGGCAGGUCUCUGGGCUGUUACUGACGCUGAGGAGCGAAAGCAUGGGGAGCGAACAGGAUUAGAUACCCUGGUAGUCCAUGCCGUAAACGUUGGGCACUAGGUGUGGGGACCAUUUCCACGGUUUCCGCGCCGUAGCUAACGCAUUAAGUGCCCCG
rnacentral:rRNA from 2 species